AUUGAACGCUGGCGGUAUGCCUAACACAUGCAAGUCGAACGGCAGCACAGUAAGAGCUUGCUCGUGCGGGUGGCGAGUGGCGGACGGGUGAGGAAUACAUAGGACUCGACGUUUUCGUUGGUGAUAACGUAGGGAAACUUACGCUAAUUCCGCAUACCAGCUACCGGUGAAAGCAGUGGAGGUCCCGCGCUUGCGCGUUGGAAGGUGCCGAUGUCGGAUUAGCUAGUUGGAGGGGUAACGGCCCACCAAGGCGACGAUCCGUAGCUGAUCUGAGAGGGUGAUCAGCCACACUGGAACUGAGACACGGUCCAGACUCCUACGGGAGGCAGCAGUGGGGAAUAUUGGACAAUGGGCGCAAGCCUGAUCCAGCAAUACCGCGUGGGUGAAGAAGGCCUUCGGGUUGUAAAGCCCUGUUGUUGGGAAAGAAAAGCAGCAUGUUAAUACCCCGCUGUUCUGACGGUACCCAAAGAAUAAGCACCGGCUAACUUCGUG
rnacentral:rRNA from 1 species